UACGUAGGGUGCUAACGUUGUUCGGAAUCACUGGGCAUAAAGAGCGCGUAGGCGGUCUGAUAAGUCAGGUGUGAAAUCCCCCGGCUCAACCGGGGAACUGCACCUGAUACUGUUGGGCUUGAGUGCAGGAGGGGAGAGCGGAAUUCCUGGUGGAGCGGUGAAAUGCGUAGAUAUCUGGAGGAACACCGGUGGCGAAGGCGGCAUCCUGGACCGGUAUUGACGCUGAGGCGCGAAAGCCAGGGGAGCAAACGGG
rnacentral:rRNA from 1 species